UACAGAGGUCUCAAGCGUUGUUUGGAUUCAUUGGGCGUAAAGGGUGCGUAGGCGGCGCGGUAAGUCGGGUGUGAAAUCUCGGGGCUUAACUCCGAAACUGCAUUCGAUACUGCUGUGCUUGAGGACUGGAGAGGAGACUGGAAUUUACGGUGUAGCGGUGAAAUGCGUAGAUAUCGUAAGGAAGACCAGUGGCGAAGGCGGGUCUCUGGACAGUUCCUGACGCUGAGGCACGAAAGCGUGGGGAGCAAACAGGG
rnacentral:rRNA from 1 species